GGGGGUUAAUAGGAUUAUUUUAAUUUUAAUGGGGGUUAAAUUUUAAAAUAAGAAUAUUUUGGGUUUUAUUAUUUCUAAGAAAAAAUUUGUUUUAUGAUAGUUUAUUAGUAUUGAGAAAGAAUUCUUUUAAAUUUUUAAAAGAAAAAUUAAUUUUUUGUACCUUGUGUAUCAGGGUUUAUUAAAUAAGUUUUAUUUAUUAUAAUUUUCCCGAAUUUAAAAGGGCUACUUAAUCAUGUAUUUUAUUGUGGAAUAAAUAUUUACAAUGUUUAGGUAGAAAUGAAAUGUUAUUCGUUUUUAAAUAUAUCUGGUUUUUCAAGAAAUAAAUUUAAUUUACUUAAUUUUAAAGUAAAAUUUUAAUUUUUUAAAAUUUUGUUUUUUUUAAUUAAUAUUUAGAGGGAUGAGCUUUUAAAUAAAUUUUUAUAAGGGGGUCUGUUUUAAUCAAGAUUUAUAGGAUUAGAAAUUUCUAUUUUUAUAAGGGUGUUAUAACCAAUCUUGGUUUUAGAAUUAUUUGUAUUUUCUUUAAAUUUUUUAUUGAAAUGGGGGUUUCAAUUAAAUUUGGGUUGCAAUAAUGAUAAAAUUAGUAUAUAUUUUUGUUUAUGGGGGUAAAAUAUUCAAGAUUAGGUUAAGGAAUUCGGCAAAAGAUUUUCCGCCUGUUUAUUAAAAACAUGGCCUUUUGUUUAUUAUUUAAGGUCUAGCCUGCCCACUGAGUAGUUAAAUGGCCGCGGUACACUGACCGUGCAAAGGUAGCAUAAUCAUUAGUUUUUUAAUUGAAAGCUGGAAUGAAUGGUUGGAUGAGAAAAUAACUGUCUCUGCCUAAGUUUUAGAAUUUUAUUUUUAAGUAAAAAAGCUUAAAUUUUAUUAAAAGACGAGAAGACCCUAUAGAGUUUUAUAAAUUUCAAUAUUUGAAUUUUUAGUAUUAUCAUCUUGAAUAUUAAAAUUUAUUUGGUUGGGGAGAUCAAAAAACUAAAUUAACUUUUUUUUCAUUUUUACACUUAUUAGUGAUUGUUUGAUCCAUUUUUUGUGAUUAUAAGAUAAAAUUACCUUAGGGAUAACAGCGUAAUCUUUCUUGAGAGUUCUAAUCGAAAGAAGGGUUUGCGACCUCGAUGUUGGAUUAAAAUUAAUUUUUGGUGUAGAAGCUAAAAAUAUUAGGUCUGUUCGACCUUUAAAAUUUUACAUGAUCUGAGUUUAAACCGGCGUGAGCCAGGUUGGUUUCUAUCUUUAAUAUUUUGGAAUAUUUUAGUACGAAAGGACCAAAUAUUUAAUAAUUUAUUUUUUGUCAGAAUAUUACU
rnacentral:rRNA from 1 species